UAGAUAGAUGAUAGGUACAUAGAU
rnacentral:piRNA from 1 species